rnacentral:tRNA from 1 species
AAAAAGCUAAUUAAAUUAUAAUAUUAACUUGUCAAGUUAAAUUUACCGUCGUAGUGUUUUUUG